rnacentral:rRNA from 1 species
GAUGAACGCUGGCGGCGUGCUUAACACAUGCAAGUCGAACGGAAAGGCCCAAGCUUGCUUGGGUGCUCGAGUGGCGAACGGGUGAGUAACACGUGGGUGAUCUGCCCUGCACUUUGGGAUAAGCCUGGGAAACUGGGUCUAAUACCGGAUAGGACCAUCGUUUAGUGUCGGUGGUGGAAAGUUUUUCGGUGUGGGAUGAGCUCGCGGCCUAUCAGCUUGUUGGUGGGGUAAUGGCCUACCAAGGCGUCGACGGGUAGCCGGCCUGAGAGGGUGUACGGCCACAUUGGGACUGAGAUACGGCCCAGACUCCUACGGGAGGCAGCAGUGGGGAAUAUUGCACAAUGGGCGCAAGCCUGAUGCAGCGACGCCGCGUGGGGGAUGACGGCCUUCGGGUUGUAAACUCCUUUCGCCAAGGACGAAGCGUUUUGUGACGGUACUGGGAGAAGAAGCACCGGCUAACUACGU